rnacentral:snRNA from 1 species
GUGCUCACUUCAGCAGCAUACAUACUAAAAUUGGAAUGAUACAGGGAAGAUUAUCAUGGCCCCUGUGCAAGGAUGAUAUGAAAAUCCAUGAAGCAUUCUGUGUUCUG